UACGAAGGGGGCUAGCGUUGUUCGGAAUCACUGGGCGUAAAGGGAGCGCAGGCGGAUUUGUAAGUCAGUGGUGAAAGGCUUAAGCUUAACUUGGGAACUGCCAUUGAUACUAUAAGUCUUGAAUGUUGUUGAGGUUUGCGGAAUGGGUCAUGUAGCGGUGAAAUGCAUAGAUAUGACCCGGAACACCUAUUGCGAAGGCAGCAGGCUAAACAAAUAUUGACGCUGAGGCUCGAAAGCGUGGGGAUCAAACAGG
rnacentral:rRNA from 1 species